rnacentral:rRNA from 1 species
CAUCUUUUCUUGUUAGUUUCUGAAGUAUGGCCUGCCCGCUGACGUAUUUUGAGUUGAAGGGCCGCGGUAUUUUGACCGUGCAAAGGUAGCAUAGUCAUUAGUUCUUUAAUUGUGAUCUGGUAUGAAUGGCUUGACGAGACAUAGGCUGUCUUAGUGUGAAUUUAUUGUUGAAUUUGGAGUUUAAGUUAAAAUUCUUAGAUGUUUUUAUGGGACGAGAAGACCCUAUAGAGUUUUACAUUUGAUUGUGCAUUUCUUGUUGUUUGUUUUAGGUUUUUGCGUGUCUUUUGUUUUGUUGGGGUGAUGGGAGGAAUUUAUUUAACUCCUCUUUUUAUGUGAUAUAUUGAUUUAUGUUUGUUUUGAUCCAUUUAUUUUGAUUGUAAGACUAAAUUACCUUAGGGAUAACAGCGUUAUCCUCCCUGAGAGUUCUUAUUGGCGGGGGGGUUUGCGACCUCGAUGUUGGAUUAAGGUUUAUUUUUGGUGUAGGAGC